rnacentral:lncRNA from 1 species
GGCAUAUAUUUUCUGUCCCUUUCUCUCUCUCUUCUCCUUCUGGCACCCCUAUAAUAUGGAUGUUGGUGCAUUUAACAUUGUCCCAGAGUUCUCUGAGACUCUCUUCAUUUCUUUUCAGUCUUUUUUCUCCUUUCUGUUCUGCAUCUGUAAUUUUUGCUAAUCUGUUCUCCACCUCAUUUAUUCGUUCUUCUGCCUCCUGUAUUCUGCUGUUAGCUGCUUCUAGUGAGUUUUUUAUUUCAGUUAUUGUAUUUUGCAUCUCUUCUUGUUUAAGUUUUAUAUGUUGUAUCUCUUUGCUCAGUGUUUCCUGUAAUUAUCCAUCUUUGCCUCCAGUUUAUUUCCAAUGUCUUGCAUCUUCUUCAGCAUCAACAGUCUAAAGUCUUUUUCCUGGAGGCUAAGAAUCUCCUCCUCACUUAGCUAAUUUUCUGGGGUUUUUCCUUUCUCCCUCAUCUGAGUUAUAGUUCUCUGUCUUUUCAUUUUUAUAGGUUUUUGGUGUGGUGACCUUUUUACACAGGGUAGAAUUGCAGCCUCUCUUACUUCCGAUGUCUGUCCCCCUGUGGCUGAAGUCAGUAUGGGGGGCUUGCAGUAGGCUUCCUGAUGGGAGGGACUGAUGCCUGCCCACUGGUAGGUGGGGCUGAUUCUAAUCCCUCUGAUGGGUGGGGCUUAGUCUUUGGAUGGGAUUAGAGGCAGCUGUGUGCCUGGGGGGUCUUUAGGUAGCCUGUUUACUGAGGGGUGAGGCAGUGAUCCCACCUGGGUUGUUAUUUGCCCUGGGGCUUAUCAGCAGCUGACUGACGGGUGGGGCCAGAUUUUCCCAAAAUUGCCACCUCCAGAGAAAGGUGCAGCUGCUGAAUAUUCCCAAGAGCUUUGCUUUCAAUGUCCUUCCCUCACAACAAGCCAAGUUCACCCCUGUUUUCCCAGGAUGUCCUCCAUGAGCUGCAGUAAGGUUUGACCCAGAUUCCCAUGGAGACUUUGCUUUGCCCUGGGGCCCAGUGCAUGUGAAAGUCUGUGUUCACCUUUUACGAUUGGGGUCUCCAUUUCCCCCAGUCCCUUGGAGCUCCUGCACACAAGCCCCACUGGCCUUCAAUGACAGAUGCUCUGGGCCUUGUUCUUCCCAUGUCAGAUCCCCACACGUGAGAGUUUGGUGUGGGGCUUAGAACUCUCACUCCUCUAGGUGAGACUCUGAACCAGUUAGUUUCCAGUCUGUGGAGCUUCCCACCCAGGAGGUAUGGGGUUGUUUAUAUUGUGAAAUCACCCCUCCUACCUCUUGAUGUGUCCUCAUCUUUUUCUCUGGAGUAGGAUAUCUUUUUUAAGGUUUCUGGUCCAUUUGGGUGAAGAGUGCUCAAUCUUUAGUUGUGAAUUUUUUUGUUUUUAGGAAAAAAGUUGAGCCCCAGUUCUUCUAUUCUGCCAUCUUAAUCCCAUCUCCCUGUCUUUAAGCUAUUUUGAGUUUAUUUUUGUGCAUGGUAUGAGGGUGUGUUCUAGUUUCAUUGAUUUAGGUGCAGCUGACUAGUUUCCCCAGCACUACUUGCUGAUGAUUAUCUUUUUCCCAUUUUGUAUUCUUGCCUCCUUUGUGAAGAUUAAUUGACCAUAGGUGUCUGGGUUUAUUUCUGGGUUCUCUAUUCUGUUCCAUUGGUCUGUAUGUCUGAUUUGAUACCAGUACCACACUGUGUUGAUGACUGUGGCUUUGUAAUAUUGCCUGAAGUCUGGGAGAGUUACGCAUCCUGCUUGGUUUUUGUUGCUCAGGAUUUCUUUGGCAGUUCUGAGUCUUUCAUGGUUCCACAAAAAUUUUUGGGUUGUUCUACCACUGUGAAAAACAUCAUGGGUAAUUUGAUAGGGAAUACAUUGCAAUGCAUCUGUAGAUUGCUUUGGGUAGUACAGCCAUUUUUACGAUAUUUAUUCUUCAAACCCAGGAGCAUGGAAUAGCUUUCCAUUUCUUUGAAUCCUCUGUAAUUUCCUUGAUUAAUGCUUUAUGCUUCUCAGCAUAUAAGUAAUUCACCUCCUUGGUCAGGUUUAUCCCUUGGUAUUUAAUUUUUGGGGGUGAAAUUUUAAGAGGUAUUGUAUUUUUGUAUUCCUUUUCUAAUAUUUCAUUGUUAGUAUACAGAAAUGUGACUGAUUUCUGAAUGUUAAUCUUAUAUCCCUGCUACUUUGCUGAAUUUGUUGAUCAGUACAAGUAGUUUUUGGGUUGAGUCCUUAAGAUUUUCUAUUUAUAGUAUUAUGUCAUCUGCAUACAGUGACAAUUUUACCUCUUCCAAUUUGGAUACCUUUUAUUUCAUUUGUUUGUCUGAUUGCUGUGGCUAGGACUUCCAAUACUAUGUUGAAUAAAAGUGGUGAGAGUGGGCAUCCUUGUCUUGUUCCAGAUUUUAGUGGGAAGGCUUUCAGCUCUUCUCCAUGGAAUGUUAUGUUUGCUGUGCGUUUGCCAUAAAUGGCUUUUAUUGUGUUAAGGUAUAUUCCCUCUAUACCCACUUUGGUAAGAAUUUUGUCAUGAAUGGAUGUUGGACUUUGUCAAAUGCUUUUUCUGCGUCUAUUGGGAUGAUCAUGUGGUUUUUGACUUUUCUAUUGUUAUUGUGGUGUAUGACGUUGAUUGAUCUGCAUCUGUUGAACCAUCCUUGUGAACCUGGGAUGAAUCCCACCUGGUCGUGGUGUAUGAUCUUUUUUAUAUGUUGUUGGAUUUGGUUGGCUAAAAUUUUGUUGAGAAUUUUUGCAUCUAUAUUCAUCAAAGAUAUUGGCCUAUAGUUUUCUUUUUUGGUGGUAUCUUUGUCUGGUUUUGGAUUUACGGUGAUGACGGCAUCACAAUGUCUUUGGGAGUAUUCCUUCCUCUUCAACAUUUUGAAGAAGUUUAAGGAGGAUCCAUAUAAGUUCCUCUUUGUAUGUAUGAUAGAAUUUCCCUGUGAAGCCAUCUGGUCCUGGACUUUUAUUUGUAGGGAGUGUUUUAUUUGUUUAUUCAAUUUCAUUUCUAGUGAUUAGUCUGUUCAGUUGAUCUAUUUCUUCUUGAUUCAGUUUUGGCAGGCUGUCUCUAGAAAGUUAUCCAUUUCUUCUAGGUUAUCAAAUUGGUUAUUCUUGUUACCAAUUUAUAGUCUUUCUCUAACCAUAAAUAAACACGCCCACAUUCCUAUCUUACACUGAAAAAAGAAGAAAAGGGGGGAAAAAACUUCCUCAUACUUAUCUCUAAACAUUGUAUUAUUUCUUUUUUUUAUGAUUUAAAAAUAAUUAAAUGUGUUCAGCUAUAUCUGUUUCACUAUACCACUUAUCCUUUAGUCAUUUUUUAAUGAUCCCCUUUCAAGUUCCUCUCUCUCGCCCUCUCUCAUUUUCCAAAUGUGGAUGUUCCUCAGGAAUUUGUCUUUGGGCCAUACCUUUUUUAUUAUAUGCUCCCUGUCAUGGACUACAAUAACUUUAAUUAAUAUACCAAUAUGUAUACUUCCUAAAUCAAAAUCUGCAAUAGUAGCCUCUCAUUCCUUUCAUUUCAAUCCUAUCAUCUUCCACUUCCUUAAAUUCAAGUUUCACAUUCUAAAACUCUUCUACCUGGAUAUUCUUUUAGCACUUUAAAUUGAAAACUGGUUGUGGCAUCAUCUCACAAAAAAAUAUUCUCCUUAUAUUAACAUUCUCCUUCAAGUUUUCAGACAUCAAAUCCUCAUCUCAUUCUCUCUUUAAAGCCACCAAUAACCAACUCUGUUCUCAUCCAUUAUUGAGGCUAUUUUCCUAGCCCAGGUUUACAUCACUUGGGAUAUUAUUUUACCCGCUCUUUAAUUAUUUAUAUACAAAUUUGCCUUUUAGGGCUUCAUCUGUGGCAUAUGAAAGUUCUCAGGCUAGGGGUCACAUUGGAGCUACAACUGUAGACCUGCACCAUAACCACAGUGUUGAGCAUGGCAUGUGGUCUACACCACAGCUCACAACAAUGCUGGAUCCUUAAUUCACUGAGCAAAGACAGAGAUCGAACCUGAAUCCUCAUGGACACUAGUUGGGUUUGUUACUGCUGAGUCAAAACGGGAACUCCUACAUUCAUAUUUUUGUGUUUGCAUUCUAAACAAGUUACAAAGUUGCUCUGUGAAAUUGUAGUUAAUCCAGCUAAUUCAAUGCCCUAUCUGAAAACUAGUGAGAAAAUCCUAAUUCUUAAUGUAUUUUAAACAAUAUGUAUUAUUAUAUAAUAUAUGUAAUAUAUUUGUUACUUCAAUGUGUCUAUGUAUCUCAGGGAGUAUAUAUAUUAUAUAUUUGGCACACUGCAUAUGGCAUAUUUAAACAGUUGAUAAAUGCUAUUAAUUAAUUUUAUAAUCAUAGGAUAAUUAUUUUAAAUUACCUCCAUAAUUCUGCAAUCUAUUUGAUAUAAUUCUAAGGUUUUAUCUUCCUGUAAUACAUUGCUAAUUUUGUCUUUCAGUAGUUGAAUAUAUCAAAAGGGUUUGUGUUGUGCUAUAGGAUAAUGUAAAAGCUUGUUAGUCUAUUAUUCCAAGUCCUCUAUAGUUUCAUUUUCACCAAUUACCAGCUUAUUUUCCACUUUAAAAUUUUUCCUUUGAACUUUAUUCACAAUGAAUUAGUGAUUAUUCUUUACUUUGAGUUAUGAUUUAUCAAUUCCAAGAAAAUGUUUUGCCCUGGAUAUUCCUUCCAUGUAGAAAUUCUACCAUUCUAACAAAGACCUGUUGAAAUGUGAAAGAAGAAAGGAAGAGAGUGAGGGAGGGAUGAGGAGAGAGAGGGACAGAGACAGAAACAAAGAAAGAGAGAAAGAGAGAGAGUGAGAAAGAGAAAGAAAGAAAGAAAGAAAGAAGAAAGAAA